AAGAGCCGUAUGAAUCGAGAGGUUCACGUACGGUUCCGUGAGAGGCUGAAGGUGAAAUUCCUUCGGCCUACUCGAC
rfam:Desulfurella amilsii strain TR1 opera_scaffold_1, whole genome shotgun sequence.